rnacentral:rRNA from 1 species
CACGGCCCAAACUCUACGGGAGGCAGCAGUGGGGAAUCUUGCACAAUGGAGGAAACUCUGAUGCAGCGAUGCCGCGUGAGUGAAGAAGGCCUUUGGGUUGUAAAGCUCUUUCGUCGGGGAAGAAAAUGACUGUACCCGAAUAAGAAGGUCCGGCUAACUUCGUGCCAGCAGCCGCGGUAAUACGAAGGGACCUAGCGUAGUUCGGAAUUACUGGGCUUAAAGAGUUCGUAGGUGGUUGAAAAAGUUGGUGGUGAAAUCCCAGAGCUUAACUCUGGAACUGCCAUCAAAACUUUUCAGCUAGAGUUUGAUAGAGGAAAGCAGAAUUUCUAGUGUAGAGGUGAAAUUCGUAGAUAUUAGAAAGAAUACCAAUUGCGAAGGCAGCUUUCUGGAUCAUUACUGACACUGAGGAACGAAAGCAUGGGUAGCGAAGAGGAUUAGAUACCCUCGUAGUCCAUGCCGUAAACGAUGUGUGUUAGACGUUGGAAAUUUAUUUUCAGUGUCGCAGCGAAAGCGAUAAACACACCGCCUGGGGAGUACGACCGCAAGGUUAAAACUCAAAUGAAUUGACGGGGACCCGCACAAGUAGUGGAGCAUGUGGUUUAAUUCGAAGAUACGCGCAGAACCUUACCAACACUUGACAUGUUCGUCGCGACUUUAAGAGAUUAAAGUUUUCGGUUCGGCCGGACGAAACACAGGUGCUGCAUGGCUGUCGUCAGCUCGUGUCGUGAGAUGUUGGGUUAAGUCCCGCAACGAGCGCAACCCUCACUUUUAGUUGCCAUCAUUUAGUUGGGCACUCUGAAAGAACUGCCAGUGAUAAGCUGGAGGAAGGUGGGGAUGACGUCAAGUCCUCAUGGCCCUUACGUGUUGGGCUACACACGUGCUACAAUGGUAUCUACAACAGGAAGCGAAACGGCG